AGAGUUUGAUCCUGGCUCAGAUUGAACGCUGGCGGCAUGCUUUACACAUGCAAGUCGAACGGCAGCACGGGGGCAACCCUGGUGGCGAGUGGCGAACGGGUGAGUAAUACAUCGGAACGUAUCCUUGAGUGGGGGAUAACGCAGCGAAAGUUGUGCUAAUACCGCAUGAGCUCUGAGGAGGAAAGUGGGGGACCGUAAGGCCUCACGCUGAAGGGGCGGCCGAUGUCCGAUUAGCUAGUUGGUGAGGUAAAGGCUCACCAAGGCUUCGAUCGGUAGCUGGUCUGAGAGGAUGAUCAGCCACACUGGGACUGAGACACGGCCCAGACUCCUACGGGAGGCAGCAGUGGGGAAUUUUGGACGAUGGGGGCAACCCUGAUCCAGCCAUGCCGCGUGAGUGAAGAAGGCCUUCGGGUUGUAAAGCUCUUUCGUGAGGGAAGAAACGGCCAUAGUGAAUAGCUGUGGUUACUGACGGUACCUCAAGAAGAAGCACCGGCUAACUACGUGCCAGCCGCCGCGGU
rnacentral:rRNA from 1 species